GAUGAACGCUGGCGGCGUGCCUAAUACAUGCAAGUCGAGCGAACGGUCGAGAAGCUUGCUUCUCUGAUGUUAGCGGCGGACGGGUCAUUAACACGUGGAUAACCUAACUAUAAGACUGGGAUAACUUCGCGAAACCUUCGCUACUACCGGAUAAUAUUUUGAACCGCAUGGUUCAAAAGUGAAAGACGGUCUUGCUGUCACUUAUAGAUGGAUCAGAGCUGCAUUAGCUAGUUGGUAAGGUAACGGCUUACCAAGGCAACGAUGCAUAGCCGACCUGAGAGGGUGAUCGGCCACACUGGAAGUGAGCCUCGCUCCCGACCCCGACGGGAGGCAGCAGUAGGGAAUCUUCCGGGAUGGGCGAAAGCCUGACGGAGCAACGCCGCGUGAGGGAUGAAGGUGUUCGGAUCGGAAAACUCUGUUAUUAGGGAAGAACAUAUAUGUAAGUAACUGUGCACAUCAUGACGGUACCUAAACAGAAAGCCACGGCUAACUACGUG
rnacentral:rRNA from 1 species